AAAAGGUAGGUUAUAAUGAAAUAAAGGAAAAGCAAACAAGCACUGAAUGACAAAUGGCCAAGAUAUGUGAUCGUUUCCUGUUUGUUUUAAAAUAGUUUUCAUCUCCUUUGGAGUUUUAUGUUAAUGUGUAUGCUUUCUCGCGUAAAAUAGUUUUUUAAUACAAAAAAUAUGGAUUAUAGACUAGUAUUUAUCAAGUGCUAACUCUCUCUUACAAUAGUCACGGGCAUUUUUGAUACAGUGAUGUUAGAAGCAGAAGAUAAUCUAUAAAAAAAAUAUCUGGUUUUUAAAUAUA